UUGGAAAAGUUUGAAAAUUUCUGUCAGAGAGUAAAGAUGGAGUAAAAAAUCAAACUAAGGAUUUUCUUCCUGCUUUAGAAAUAAUGAUGAAAAAUCUUGAGAGAAAAGGAAAUUCUACAGAUAUUAUUAUAUCUGGCCUUAGUUUUUUUGGUGUUUUCUCUGUUCCAUCAUUGCUUUCUAAGACAAGAAAGAGGUCCUCACCUUGUGCUGCAUUUGCUGAAGAAAUUGUUCCAAAAGUUCAUGGUCGUCAAAUGAUCACAUAUGGUAGAAAGCGAUCAUUAUUAUCAGCAGUAGAAAAUAAAUCUACCGCGGAAUCUGGAUUUUCUUCUUCAUUGAUUGAUUCUAGUACUCCUCUCAAUGAAAUAGUGUUUAACAUAUCGUCUGAAAAUGGAUGAAUGUAUAAAAAACUGAAUGAAGUUCAUUUUUACUAACGUGGAAGGAUUUUUCAGCUUUUGUUAUAAAGAUUUUUAAAAAAAUGUAAUCUGCAAGAUGAGCAAAAGGGAAUAAGUUAAAAAUAAUCAGCGUAUCUGCAAAUUGUUCUUUGUGGUGAAUUAGAAAUUGAUUCACAGGGUAGAUAAUUCUUGAAACAUCUUAAAAAUUUGGUUAACUGCAAAAUGUUUGGAAAUAAGAAUGUUGCUUCAUCAAUGUUGGUUAGUGAAUAAUAGUUAGUGAAACUUGUGAAUAUUCCCUUCUUUUACAGUGAGUCAUUAGCUGAUUUGCCAUUUUCUGGGAAAAGCCAAAUGUAUUGCUCAGUUUGUAAGGAACUUUUAAAGGCAGGCUUUUCAUAUAUAUUUGCAGUGUAAUGGUUAGUGUAAUUCAGUUGGCCUUAGGUUUCAUCCUUGAUCAGGAUAUGCUGAUUUUUCAAGACUCUUGUUUGCAGCAACUUAAUGGCUUUAUAGUGGGCCUGACCUAAAUAAAAUGUGUUAGAUGAUAGCUCACCACCGUUUAAUUUGGUAAGCUGAAACUUGCUCCUUCCUUUAACCACUUAAAACCUUUGAACGAGCAGCAAAAAUUAAAGACAUAUUUUCUGUCUGUUCUUGUGAUGUAGUGGUUAAGAUAACAGUUAGCAGAGAAAGAGGUGGAAUCAGUUUUUAGGAAGGGUGUAAGUGACAUUUUGAGAACCUUAGUCUCAAAAAUUUAAUGAUUCUGAAGGUUCAUUAUAUCAUCAGUGAGAAUUUUGCCUAGCUUGGUAGACUGAUAUUGCAGUUGCAAGAGAGAGGAGAUAACACAAACAAUUAAUCCUUACAUGCCAGUUGAACCUGCACACAUCAGCGUCAGCUUAUUGGCCAGUCACCAUUAAUCACUAUGCUGACUAGAGCAAAACUCAUAAAAAGUUAUCUACUAACUAUUAGAUGCAUUUUCAACAAGAUCUUUUAAGCAGCUCAAUGGGAAACUUUUUAUGUAUGUGUUGUUAUGUAAACUGAAAUUCUGUACUGAAGGAAUUAAAUGAGCUUUAUAUAAAGUGCAUUUCCUGUAGCUCUUUACUAAUUUUGAACUAUGCAUAAAUCUUAUCUUUUAACCUAUGAUGAAUUUAUUUAUGCUGUUUAUUUAGCACUGGAUUGCCUGUGUGAACAUAAUUAAAUUAAAGUGAAAGAGAAAUCAAAUUGAUAUAGUGACCUUGUGGCAGAUUCAGAUGUCACAGAUUCAAGUCAGCUGAAUCUUUAUCCAUCAUGGCCUAUAUUUAUUGUUGUAUUUUGUCUGCCAAUUAAAAAAAUUGUAAUAAAUGUAAUGCAGAUGAUUAUAUGAUACAUAAAAUGAUAUCUUUUUUCAGUAAUGCAUAAUAAUAGUAGGUAUCUUUUUAUAAUACUAAUAUAGUUUCAUUCAAAACUAAAACUCUUCAGAUGUUUAUUUAUAUAGAUUUAUCAAGCUUUAAGCUAUGCAUGUAUUUUAUUUGUGAUAAAGAAUGCAUUUAUAUAUAAUUUUUGUAUAAAUAUAGAAAUGAUUAAAACAAAGCGAAAGCUUAAGUUAAUCAAGAA
rnacentral:lncRNA from 1 species